GGGCGUAAAGCGCGCGCAGGCGGAUUGGUCAGUCUGUCUUAAAAGUUCGGGGCUUAACCCCGUGAUGGGAUGGAAACUGCCAAUCUAGAGUAUCGGAGAGGAAAGUGGAAUUCCUAGUGUAGCGGUGAAAUGCGUAGAUAUUAGGAAGAACACCAGUGGCGAAGGCGACUUUCUGGACGAAAACUGACGCUGAGGCGCGAAAGCCAGGGGAGCGAACGGGAUUAGAUACCCCGGUAGUCCUGGCCGUAAACGAUGGGUACUAGGUGUAGGAGGUAUCGACCCCUUCUGUGCCGGAGUUAACGCAAUAAGUACCCCGCCUGGGGAGUAUGACCGCAAGGUUGAAACUCAAAGGAAUUGACGGGGGCCCGCACAAGCGGUGGAGUAUGUGGUUUAAUUCGACGCAACGCGAAGAACCUUACCAGGUCUUGACAU
rnacentral:rRNA from 1 species